rnacentral:lncRNA from 1 species
CCUCUUGAAGCUUUCUUUGAUCCAUUCGCAAAUGUGUAGUGGAUAUUUGAGUGUAUUUGGAUGAUUGUACUCUGCUGAACAAUUAUUUUGUAAUGAAAGAAGUUGUUUGAACAGUGUUUGUGUAUAUAUUUUGUUAGCGAUCUUCUUGGCUUCAAAUAUACUUGAACAUCAAAUAUUUUUUAAGGCAAGAUUUUCUUCCACUAUAUAGAAUACUUUUGCACUCAUAUAUGUUCUAUUUUCGGACACCUUUACCCCACCGGUUAUUGGGAUGCCGCAGAUGACACAACAAAAUAGUGAGAAACAUAUUCGAUUCAAUAAACAAUCUAAACGUGGAUAACCCAAUCAAAGGUCCUAUCAAGAUAGUGAAAUAAUUUGAUUGAAUUACAAAUUUUAUAGAUCAUCAAACAAAGCAAUUUUAACUUAUAUUAAUAGAGGCCAUAGGGGAUCCCCAACUACUACUGUGAAUGGGAAAUAGUUUAGUUUGACAUAUAGUUGAAAUCUAAUGCUUGUGAUCGUAUUUGCCACUGUAGCCCUUAUAAUAAGUCGCGAUUCCACUUUCAUUAGAGGGAACACCAGCACCAUUCAUAGGGAGUGGUUCACCAACAGUCAGUAGCAAUCAUAUUCGAUCACCCCUCAGUGAUAACAGUCAAAUGGAUUUAAGUCUUUUCACUUUCCUUGUCAGUUAGAAAUCAUAGUAAAUUUGACAGUCUAGACUCGACGGGGUCCAUUAACCAAAUUUGGCCCCACAAGGGCCCAGAUAUCUAGAUUGGGCCAUCAUGUUACCUUCCGGGCCAAAGCCCAAUUGAGUAACCCUCUCAACCAUUGUUUUAAAGACGAAGUCAAUGUGCACAAUCCGCACAUGCGGCGUACUAUUCAAAAUAAUUUCUUCCAUUUCCAUGACUCGACUUGAAUGUGCAAAAAUCGUAUCCAAACAUGGUUCAAAGAUAAAUCUUUCCAACAUCAUAAGAAAUACAAUCUUUAAAACAAUAAUCAUUGCAUGCGUGAAAUUAAACCAAACAAUCAUAGAUUUCAUUAUCUUUAAACAUUUCAAAGUCUAGAAAACAUAAUAGGAGUGGAGAUGAAAAUACCAAUAACCUUUAUUUAACUUUCAAGCUUUCAGUUUCAAAAAAUUAGGUUGUUUACGAUUUGAAGGAGAAGGAAAGUUACUGGGCAACUCGUAGAUUUUAGGAUGUAUUUCUGGAAAUUUAAAGAAAGGAAGAGCCUAAGAAUGAGGGCUUAGAAAUCUUAGUGAAGAAAGGGAAUCAAGAAAAGAGAAAAAAAAGCUUACAGUGCUAAGGGGUAAAGCUUUUUAGUCUCGUCAGUUAUGUCUCUGUCUCUCUCAAGCUCUUUCUCUCUCUAAUUUCUCUCUCUUAUUUUUCUCUCUAGCUUCUCUCUGUAACUUCUCUCUCUCUCUCAACCAAAUGAAGAAGAAGAAAAAUGGAGAAAAUAAAAGGAGAAGAAAAGAAGGGCUUUAAAUAACCAAAGGAAAAGCACGCAUCUGUGCCAUGUGACAGCUAAUCAGCGGGCAACAGAUGACAAUGUGACAUAGGCAAUAGUGAUAUGACACGACGUAUGCAACUGGUGGCGCGACAAUGAUGACAUGACAGCGGCAAGCAUGCAAGCCUGAGG